GACAGAGGGUGCAAACGUUGUUCGGAAUUACUGGGCGUAAAGCGUGUGUAGGCGGUCUCAUAAGUCGGGUGUGAAAGCCCAGGGCUCAACCCUGGAAGUGCACUCGAAACUGCGAGGCUUGAGUACCGGAGAGGUUGGUGGAAUUCUCGGUGUAGAGGUGAAAUUCGUAGAUAUCGAGAGGAACACCAGUGGCGAAGGCGACUACCUGGCCUGUUCUUGACGCUGAGGCGCGAAAGCUAGGGGAGCAAACGGG
rnacentral:rRNA from 1 species